UACGGGGGAUGCAAGCGUUAUCCGGAUUUAUUGGGUGUAAAGGGUGCGUAGACGGGAAAUUAAGUUAGUUGUGAAAUCCCUCGGCUUAACUGAGGAACUGCAACUAAAACUGAUUUUCUUGAGUACUGGAGAGGAAAGUGGAAUUCCUAGUGUAGCGGUGAAAUGCGUAGAUAUUAGGAGGAAUACCAGUGGCGAAGGCGGUCAACUGGACAGCAACUGACGCUGAGGCGCGAAAGCGUGGGGAGCAAACAGG
rnacentral:rRNA from 1 species